AGCCAUAAAUUAGCUAUGUAUCUAAAGCUAUGGAUUGUUUCCAGAUGAGGCUUUUAUUGCAUAAUUUCUUGGCU
rnacentral:snoRNA from 1 species